rnacentral:rRNA from 1 species
AGGCGGGCUGGAAUCUCUCGGGGUUACAGCCUUGCUGAAUUAUUCACCCUUGUCUUUUGCGUACUUCUUGUUUCCUUGGUGGGUUCGCCCACCACUAGGACAAACAUAAACCUUUUGUAAUUGCAAUCAGCGUCAGUAACAAAUUAAUAAUUACAACUUUCAACAACGGAUCUCUUGGUUCUGGCAUCGAUGAAGAACGCAGCGAAAUGCGAUAAGUAGUGUGAAUUGCAGAAUUCAGUGAAUCAUCGAAUCUUUGAACGCACAUUGCGCCCUUUGGUAUUCCAAAGGGCAUGCCUGUUCGAGCGUCAUUUGUACCCUCAAGCUUUGCUUGGUGUUGGGCGUCUUGUCUCUAGCUUUGCUGGAGACUCGCCUUAAAGUAAUUGGCAGCCGGCCUACUGGUUUCGGAGCGCAGCACAAGUCGCACUCUCUAUCAGCAAAGGUCUAGCAUCCAUUAAGCCUUUUUUCAACUUUUGACCUCGGAUCAGGUAGGGAUACCCGCUGAACUUAAGCAUAUCAAUAAGCCGGAGGAA